GAUGAACGCUGGCGGCGUGCCUAAUACAUGCAAGUCGAGCGAACAGAUGAGGAGCUUGCGCCUCUGACGUUAGCGGCGGACGGGUGAGUAACACGUGGAUAACCUACCUAUCAGACUGGGAUAACUUCGGGAAACCGGCGCUAACACCGGAUAAUAUAUUGAACCGCAGGGUUCAAUAGUAAAAGACGGCUUUGCUGUCACUUAUCGAUGGAUCCGGGCGGCUUUGGCUAGUUGGUAGGGUAAAGGCUUUCCAAGGCGACGAUGCGUAGCCGACCUGAGGGGGGGGUCGGCCGCCCGGGAGCUGGGACACGGACCAGGCUCCUGCGGGAGGGCGCAGUAGGGAAUCGUCCGCAGUGGGCGAAAGCCUGACGGAGCAACGCCGCGUGAGUUGUGAAGGUCUUCGGAUCGUAAAACUCUGUUAUUAGGGAAGAACAAAUUUGUAAGUAACUAUGCACGUCUUGACGGUACCUAAUCAGAAAGCCACGGCUAACUACGUG
rnacentral:rRNA from 1 species